CAGGAUGAACGCUGGCGGCGUGCCUAACACAUGCAAGUCGAACGGAAUUUACAUGAAGCCUAGCGAUUGUAAAUUUAGUGGCGGACGGGUGAGUAACGCGUGGGUAACCUGCCUUGUACUGGGGGACAACAGUUGGAAACGACUGCUAAUACCGCAUAAGCGCACAGCUUCGCAUGAAGCAGUGUGAAAAACUCCGGUGGUACAAGAUGGACCCGCGUCUGAUUAGCUGGUUGGUGAGGUAACGGCCCACCAAGGCGACGAUCAGUAGCCGGCCUGAGAGGGUGAACGGCCACAUUGGGACUGAGACACGGCCCAAACUCCUACGGGAGGCAGCAGUGGGGAAUAUUGCACAAUGGGGGAAACCCUGAUGCAGCGACGCCGCGUGGAGGAAGAAGGUCUUCGGAUUGUAAACUCCUGUUGUUGAGGAAGAUAAUGACGGUACUCAACAAGGAAGUGACGGCUAACUACGUGCCAGCAGCCGCGGUAAAACGUAGGUCACAAGCGUUGUCCGGAAUUACUGGGUGUAAAGGGAGCGCAGGCGGGAAGACAAGUUGGAAGUGAAAUCCAUGGGCUCAACCCAUGAACUGCUUUCAAAACUGUUUUUCUUGAGUAGUGCAGAGGUAGGCGGAAUUCCCCGGUGUAGCGGUGGAAUGCGUAGAUAUCGGGAGGAACACCAGUGGCGAAGGCGGCCUACUGGGGCACCACCUGACCCUGAAGGCUCGAAAGUGUGGGUAGCAAACAGGAUUAGAUACCCUGGUAGUCCACACCGUAAACGAUGAUUACUAGGUGUUGGAGGAUUGACCCUUUCAGUGCCGCAGUUAACACAAUAAGUAAUCCACCUGGGGAGUACGACCGCAAGGUUGAAACUCAAAGGAAUUGACGGGGGCCCGCACAAGCAGUGGAGUAUGUGGUUUAAUUCGACGCAACGCGAAGAACCUUACCAAGUCUUGACAUCCCUUGACGAUACUGGAAACAGUAUUUCUCUUCGGAGCAAGGAGACAGGUGGUGCAUGGUUGUCGUCAGCUCGUGUCGUGAGAUGUUGGGUUAAGUCCCGCAACGAGCGCAACCCUUAUGGUCAGUUACUACGCAAGAGGACUCUGGCCAGACUGCCGUUGACAAAACGGAGGAAGGUGGGGAUGACGUCAAAUCAUUAUGCCCUUUAUGACUUGGGCUACACACGUACUACAAUGGCGUUAAACAAAGAGAAGCAAGACCGCGAGGUGGAGCAAAACUCAGAAACAACGUCCCAGUUCGGACUGCAGGCUGCAACUCGCCUGCACGAAGUCGGAAUUGCUAGUAAUCGUGGAUCAGCAUGCCACGGUGAAUACGUUCCCGGGCCUUGCACUCACCGCCCGUCA
rnacentral:rRNA from 1 species